GUAGGGUGCAAGCGUUAAUCGGAAUUACUGGGCGUAAAGCGUGCGCAGGCGGUUUUGUAAGUCUGUCGUGAAAGCCCCGGGCUUAACCUGGGAAUUGCGAUGGAGACUGCAAGGCUUGAAUCUGGCAGAGGGGGGUAGAAUUCCACGUGUAGCAGUGAAAUGCGUAGAGAUGUGGAGGAACACCGAUGGCGAAGGCAGCCCCCUGGGUCAAGAUUGACGCUCAUGCACGAAAGCGUGGGGAGCAAACAGGAUUAGAUACCCUGGUAGUCCACGCCCUAAACGAUGUCUACUAGUUGUCGGGUCUUAAUUGACUUGGUAACGCAGCUAACGCGUGAAGUAGACCGCCUGGGGAGUACGGUCGCAAGAUUA
rnacentral:rRNA from 2 species